GCAUUGGUGGUUCAGUGGUAGAAUUCUCGCCUGCCACGCGGGAGACCCGGAUCCGAUUCCCGGCCAAUGCA
rfam:Danio rerio chromosome 4, GRCz11 reference primary assembly.